AUUGAACGCUGGCGGCAUGCCUUACACAUGCAAGUCGAAUGGUAACGGGCCUUCGGGUGCCGACGAGUGGCGAACGGGUGAGUAAUACAUCGGAACGUGCCCGAUCGUGGGGGAUAACGAGGCGAAAGCUUUUCUAAUACCGCAUACGAACUACGGAUGAAAGCAGGGGACCGCAAGGCCUUGUGCAGACGGAGCGGCCGAUGGCAGAUUAGGGAGUUGGUGGGAUAAAAGCUUACCAAGCCGACGAUCUGUAGCUGGUCUGAGAGGAUGAUCAGCCACACUGGGACUGAGACACGGCCCAGACUCCUACGGGAGGCAGCAGUGGGGAAUUUUGGACAAUGGGCGCAAGCCUGAUCCAGCCAUGCCGCGUGCAGGAUGAAGGCCUUCGGGUUGUAAACUGCUUUUGUACGGAACGAAAAGCCUUCUUCUAAUACAGGAGGGUCAUGACGGUACCGUAAGAAUAAGCACCGGCUAACUACGUGCCAGCCGCCGCCGUAA
rnacentral:rRNA from 1 species